rnacentral:rRNA from 1 species
AUAGGUGACUAUAGCACUGGGGGUCACCUCUUCCCAUUCCGAACAGAGAAGUUAAACCCAGUAACGCCGAUGGUACUGCGUAAUUGUGGAAGAGUAGGUAAUUGCCGGUU